ensembl:lncRNA
CACAAUUCCUAUCGGUCUGGUUUGUCACAUCAGGAAAAAAAGAGUAAAGAGUUUUCUGGAAGAAACAUAUGACUGGCCAACUUGUCAAAUGAAAAACAGCAUGCCCAUUGCCCAAGAACAACACUCUUCCACUCCCAUGUCUAACUCACACACAUCUUGAAAACUCUAUCUUUGCCCCAGGGUAAUACCUUGGUUUCACAUGGAGUGUGGUUGAACUUCAGAAGGAAUAAACCUGGAGCAGGUGUAAAUUUGUGAAAGGAAAGUGCAUUUCUGGGAAAUUUAGGAUUGACUCUAGGAAAGACUGAGUAGGUGGGUGGUAAAUAAGGUGAGGUAAAGAGACAGAUUCAAAUGGCAAAGAGAACACAAACAUCACCAGACAGCACCAGGAGACAAGCGUCACCUGGGACCGUAAGAGAAUUACUGAGGCUCAAGGAACAGGGGAGAGUUUAUGUUUGAUAAGUGGUUUCCCAGACCAAUUUAAUUACAUUUAAGUAUUUAUUUGUAGACUUGUUCAUAUUCUCAAAGAUACUUUUUGUCCAUUUUUAAAUCCACAUAAAGUGUCUUAACAUUUCCCUUCUCUACCUUAUCAGGUAACAUAAUAUGAAUCAUGAAUUGUUACAAAGACAUGUUCUAAGAUUUGGAUUCAACAUUCUUGUCUUAAUCUAUAAAUGUUGUCGUGAUGUAGAUGAAUCACAUCUUCAAGAUGAAGGCAAACUGGAGGCUACAGCGAAAGAGGAAUCAAUCUCCUUUGGAGCUUUCUCAGCAGCAGUCUUCCCAUAGGUGGCCUCCAGCUGGAGAGAACACCAACAGAGUGAGUGUGAACAGUGCAAAGCUGGAGAGUGCUGAAGGCUAGAGACUCAUAUGCAGAAGCCAUGCAGAAGGCAGAAGCCACAGCCAUUGAGUGCCUAACUCCUUUCUGAGGAUCUGGUUCACCAUGGCACACCAUUUCUGCAGUCAAUCUUGCCCUCUACAUUGGGAACAUGUUUAACUGUCUGAAUGUGGAUGUUUCUUUUGAUCUUGGAUGAAGCAGGCUCCUGUACCAUGCUAUUUCUGUGUUUAAGACUGCUGAACAUGACCUGAAACUUCUGAAUUUUGCUACUGCAGGAUACAUGGCCAAGGACUACAUUUUGGAGUUCCAAGUUUUGCUCUGGACUGG